GACGAACGCUGGCGGCGUGCUUAACACAUGCAAGUCGAACGGAAAGGCCCUGCUUUUGUGGGGUGCUCGAGUGGCGAACGGGUGAGUAACACGUGAGUAACCUGCCCUUGACUUUGGGAUAACUUCAGGAAACUGGGGCUAAUACCGGAUAGGAGCUCCUGCUGCAUGGUGGGGGUUGGAAAGUUUCGGCGGUUGGGGAUGGACUCGCGGCUUAUCAGCUUGUUGGUGGGGUAGUGGCUUACCAAGGCUUUGACGGGUAGCCGGCCUGAGAGGGUGACCGGCCGCAUUGGGACUGAGAGACGGCCCAGACGCCUACGGGAGGCAGCAGUGGGGAAUAUAGCACAAUGGGCGGAAGCCUGAUGCAGCAACGCCGCGUGCGGGAUGACGGCCUUCGGGUUGUAAACCGCUUUCGCCUGUGACGAAGCGUGAGUGACGGUAAUGGGUAAAGAAGCACCGGCUAACUACGG
rnacentral:rRNA from 1 species